rnacentral:rRNA from 1 species
CCCUAUAGCCAUGCCACCCUGAACAAGCUCAAUGUCUGAUCUUGGAAGCUAAGCAGGGUCAGGCCUGGUUAGCAUUUGGAUGGGAGACCACAUAGAAAGAUCGGGUGCUGUAGGCA